rnacentral:rRNA from 1 species
UACGUAGGUGGCAAGCGUUGUUCGGAAUUAUUGGGCGUAAAGGGCGCGUAGGCGGUUUGUUAAGUCAGUUGUGAAAGCCCGGGGCUCAACCCCGGAGAGUCGACUGAUACUGGCAGACUAGAGUACGGAAGAGGUAGCUGGAAUUCCCGGUGUAGCGGUGAAAUGCGUAGAUAUCUGGAGGAACACCGGUGGCGAAGGCGGCAUUCUGGACCGAUAUUGACGCUGAGGAGCGAAAGCCAGGGGAGCAAGCGGG